rnacentral:rRNA from 1 species
GAUGAACGCUAGCUACAGGCUUAACACAUGCAAGUCGAGGGGCAGCAUGGUCUUAGCUUGCUAAGGCCGAUGGCGACCGGCGCACGGGUGAGUAACACGUAUCCAACCUGCCGUCUACUCUUGGACAGCCUUCUGAAAGGAAGAUUAAUACAAGAUGGCAUCAUGAGUCCGCAUGUUCACAUGAUUAAAGGUAUUCCGGUAGACGAUGGGGAUGCGUUCCAUUAGAUAGUAGGCGGGGUAACGGCCCACCUAGUCUUCGAUGGAUAGGGGUUCUGAGAGGAAGGUCCCCCACAUUGGAACUGAGACACGGUCCAAACUACUACGGGAGGCAGCAGUGAGGAAUAUUGGUCAAUGGGCGAGAGCCUGAACCAGCCAAGUAGCGUGAAGGAUGACUGCCCUAUGGGUUGUAAACUUCUUUUAUAAAGGAAUAAAGUCGGGGAUGGAUACCCGUUUGCAUGUACUUUAUGAAUAAGGAUCGGCUAACUCCG